CAGGAUGUGGAUGCACAUUAGUCUUAUUGUUGGCUAUCCUCAUUAUAAGCUUUUUAGAAUACAUUUUUAGUUUGUCUUGUACAUUAUGUGGAAUUUUAAUUGUCAUUUUAAUCUGCGCUUCCAUGUCACUUUUGCAGAGCGGUUAAAUUGGCACUGAAUGGUUUUGAGAGGUUGCUUGCACUGGAGCACCAUCUUCAGAUAUGUGUCACUGCUUCAAUGAAAUGGGAGUUGUAGCUCCAAGCAAACCAGGAUGAGGCAACCUGAUUGAAAUGACCGGUUAUUUCAACACAAAGUAAAAGCCACGGUACCAUGUAGAAACAAGGAACCACCUAUGCUGAUUUAUGAAAGACAGCGCUGGAGUAGGUCUGGGUCGGGCAGCAUCUCGGGAGAACCUGGAUAGAUGAUGUUUUGGGUUGGCACCCUUCAGACAAGAGGUUUACAGCAACAACUGAUUACAAUGCAGUAGAUUCGGUGCUGGAAUCCGGAAUUUAAAAAUAUGAAGCAAAUAGUCAGCAGACCAAGGGGCAUCUUGGAGAGGAACAGUGAUGCCUUUUCAUUGUGACUGGUGAGUUCUGUUUUAUCAUUUCUGAAAGGUGUCCACCUGUGAUGUUAACUGACAUUUCUGCAGAAAUAAAAAUAAGACACAGUGGAAACUCAAUUGAUUGGGCAGCAUCUGUGGAAAGAUAAUAUUAUCGUUUGAAGACUUUGUUAAAACUGGGAAGCCGAGUUUUAAGUUGUAACCUAACUUUUCUGUCCAAUAUUGUCAAGGUCUUUGAUCCGAAAUGUUUAUUUUGACAGGUUUUGACUGGCCUGAGAAUGAAUUGGGGCUGAGAUGUUUUGAGUGCAUGUGACCAUUUACUAAGAUGUGGCUGAUCUGAUUGUAUGGUUUAACAGCUGAUCAUUCAUGACCAGCAGGAUCUUUAUUAACUAUUGUAAAGGAUUUGUGACGGGCAAAUUACCAAGUACGUACAAUCAUGGCAUAGGCUAUUCCUGGCUAUGAUAAUCAUUCUUGGAAGAUUAUAAACAGGACUUGGCACGGGCCACAGUGGUUUCAAUCCUCAAGUUGCCUGACUAAAAGACCUGUAACAUGCCAAUGAAUUGCAUUCUGACUGGCACAUCAAUGCAGUAUACCAGAUGUGUUGGUCUAGAAUUGAAUUAACUAUUUUCCACACAGGUAGCAGUGUUUUUCACCUAUAUAUAUGUGGCAUACGGAUUCUAUUGUUCCUGGGCACUUCUGCUUAAAUGUAUUGCCAGCUAAGAGCUGUCAAAUGCAAUGGCAGCAUUGGUCAGAACAUGACUGAUACCAACUGCACUGAUAUUGACAAUCCAGGAGUCACUAUUAUUGAUGCAAUCUUGAUGUUGUGAACCAGUUGCUGAGAUGCAUUGACUUGUUUGGCAGUGUUCGAACACAUCUGUAUGCUUGAGAAAUUCAACUGAUGUGAAAAAGUCAUCCUAAGUAAAAAAGAACUCUGCUAUUCAAUCUGCAGCACCUGCCAAGAUUAAUGAAGACAGCUCUAACUCAACGUUUCUCAACAUUUUUACCCUUGUGGAACCCUUGAAAUAAUUUUCGUGACUCCGGGAACCCCAACAUAAAAAUUAUUAUUUAUCUUUA